GGUCCCGCCUGCCCAGUGACUCUUUAAACGGCCGCGGUAUCCUAACCGUGCAAAAGUAGCAUAAUCACUUGUCCCUUAAAUCGGGACUGGAAUGAACGGCUAAAUGAGGACUAAACUGUCUCUUACAGGCCAGCCAAUGAAAUUGAUUUUCCAGUACAAAAGCUGGGAUAAACCCACAAGACGAGAAGACCCUGUGGAGCUUACAAACCAAAUUCACCAAGUAUGUCUACCGGUUUUCAGUUGGGGCGACUUCGGAGUACAAAAUAACCUCCAAACAUAAAACUAAUUAAGAACAACAUAUCAAAAUAUACUCAUAAUGACCCAGCAACCUUACGGUUGUCUGAUUAAUGAACCAAGUUACCCCAGGGAUAACAGCGCCAUCCCCUUCUAGAGUCCCUAUCGACAAGGGGGUUUACGACCUCGAUGUUGGAUCAGGACACCCCAAUGGUGCAGCCGCCAUUAACG
rnacentral:rRNA from 1 species